GGUGCAUGGUUGUCGUCAGCUCGUGUCGUGAGAUGUUGGUUAAGUCCCGCAACGAGCGCAACCCUCGACCUUAGUUGCCAGCAUUCAGUUGGGCACUCUAAGGUGACUGCCGGCUAAAAGUCGGAGGAAGGUGGGGAUGACGUCAAAUCAUCAUGCCCCUUAUGACCUGGGCUACACACGUGCUACAAUGGGCGGUACAAAGGGUCGCGAACCCGCGAGGGGGAGCCAAUCCCAAAAAGCCGCUCUCAGUUCGGAUUGCAGGCUGCAACUCGCCUGCAUGAAGCCGGAAUCGCUAGUAAUCGUGGAUCAGCAUGCCGCGGUGAAUGCGUUCCCGGGCCUU
rnacentral:rRNA from 1 species